rnacentral:rRNA from 1 species
GCCCACGACACCUUGCUUAGCCACACCCCCAAGGGAACUCAGCAGUGACAGACAUUAAGCCAUGAGUGAAAACUUGACUUAGUUAAAGCUAAGAGGGCCGGUAAAACUCGUGCCAGCCACCGCGGUUAUACGAGAGACCCAAGUUGAAAGACAUCGGCGUAAAGCGUGGUUAAGAUAAAAUACAGACUAAAGCCGAACGCAUGCAAAGUUGUUAUACGCACUCGAAAGUAGGAAGUUCAAUCACGAAAGUAGCUUU